GGCUUUGGUGAUAAACGAUACCUUUUGAGGCAUUCUGAUUAUUGCUUUUUGACGCAUACUAUUAAUACAUAUAUAAUUUGUGUUCUUAUUAAAAUAAAAUAAAAGAAUGUUGUUGUAGAUAAAUAUUUUUAAAACAAAUUAUUUGAUGUAUUAUUUCAAAUACAUUCUAAGUACUAUCAUGUAAUAUAUGAUACAUAGUGAAAUAGAAAAAUAACAUAAUAUGUAUAUAUAAUUUUACAAAAAAUUGCAUGCACAGUGGUGAUGUAAAAAAAAAAUCUAAAGAAACGUAUUAGAUAGCACUAAUAUGCAUAAUUGAACAGUAUGGCAGAAGGAAAUCCUUUUGAAAAUGACAAUAAUACAUUAAACACAAGUUCAUUGCUUGAAGAUUUAACUAAUGGAACUGUUGGUGAUGUACAGAAUGGGGAGGGUAACGGAAAAUCAUAUAAUACUACUGUGCAAAGUCGUAGAUUAUUGCAAACAGCACAAAUCAUAAAUCUAAAUGUUGCAUUUAUUUGGAUACUUUGUUUGAUAGUUAUUGCGAUUUUAUUUUAUUUUUAUUUAACUAUGCAUUAUUAUAAACCUGUAAGAUAAAUAAAAAAUUGAUGUAAUAUAUAUAU
rnacentral:lncRNA from 1 species